UGAACUGAGCAGCUAGAACAAUCCAUGCAUCUUUGGGCAAUCGCCGCAUCAAAGUGCCAUGGUAACUCUUAAAUGGGUGGAUCUUCUUUGGGCUGGAAUAUGCAAAAAUUUGCCUUAGAUUUUUCCGUCUCUCACCCCUUUUAGUGUUCAAUUAGGUUAACUGUGUUGAGAAGUUAUCAUGCUAGUUGCUCUUCCAUGAUGUCUUCGAAUGAUAGUCCGUAUUUUCUCCCCUAUUUUAUGUGAAGUUUUUUUUUUUCUAAUCCAAGAGAAGGAAGGGAAUUAGGGGCUGUUUGGUAGCAAGAUUUAGCCUAAAUCCUGCUAAAUACCAAAAAUGAUGAAAAAAUUUUGUUUUAGGGUUCCUUUGUGUAAGCUUUUUCAAUGGCUUUUUAGCACUUUUAUAAACUGUCGGACUAAAAUGGCUCCUUUUAAAUAGUUAGGGGGCUAGUUUGACACUUUAUUCUCUCCCCUUCUCUCUCUCUCUCUGUAUGUAUGUAUAUAUGUGCACGCACGCGCUCUCACACACAUUAGUUCUUAUUUAUUUACCUAUCUAACCCCUAAACUUUGAUUUUUAUUUUGGCAAUAAAGAUUUGAAAUCUUAUAUGUUGUGUCUUGACUAUUACGAGAGCUUGGACUACCCGUGCCUAUUAGUGCGUGUGUGAGGAUACCAUUUAUUCCACUAAGUUCUUAAUGUUAUUCCGUGUUCACCAUUUUAUUCUGUGAAAGGCUUUUGCAGAUUCAAAAGAAGUGAAAAGAAAAAAAUGGAAGAUGCAGAUGCAGAUGCAUGCCAGUUAAUUUUUAUAUAUUUAUAACACCUAAAUUUCAAUAUUUAUGUUGGCCUGGAAUAUAAAGUCAAAUAUAAAGUCCAUCAUGAAGGAUGGAGUUCUCUCCUUUCUCUCUCUCUCUCUCUCUCUCUCUCUCUCCAGUUGCAUUGAGCGAUGUUGAUGAAAUCCAUCAUGGAAGGCAAUCGUUUAUCUGCACUCUUCUCAUGUAAUGGUCGAUGAAACAGCUUGGAUGACCCAGGCCUUUGAGGGCCAAAACAAUAUUUUGGAUAUAUUUCAUCAAUGAAAUAAACAGUGGCGAUAUUUAUCGAAUUUGCGCUCCAAAUUCUCUGGAUCUCAAAUUUUCUCUUGCAAUGGUGUCGCAGCUUGGAUGACUUAUGUUUCCACAAGUAAUCACUUCAUCCUUGUGCCAUUGGUAGAUAACAUAUGUUGUUAUCAAUGGCUUGUCACCUGCGAGCAACUAAUCUGUCAUUGGGGUGAAGGAGAAAUGGGACUUCAUCUUAAGAUGGCGCAGAGCUUGGAAGGACCCUUGCUUUUGAGGGGUACUGCUUCCAUGAAUCAUUGUUAGAGAACUGGUUGGUGGAUAUUCUUUUUGGUGGUGCAAAGGCGAAUGUGAGCUUAUUAUUGUCCAUUUCCUUCACACUUUUUCAUAUCUGCUAGCAACCAUAUGAGCAAUUCAAGAGUGUUCAGACUAUUGUAAUUUAGUGGCUCUUGCUACCACGGUAGCACCUCGUGUGGUCAGCACCAAUCUUGUUCGGGCAACGAAGCUGACACUCAUUCACAUUGGUUCAUCCUGCUAUGCCCCGGGCUUUUUGCUCUUCUAACAACAAUGGUGGCCGGCCAUUCGUCAAGGCCCCGGAAUCCGCUGGACAUCUCAGCGGCGGGAUUGGAUACCCGCAUCAGAUCGAAGUUCCAUGUUAGUGUUGAAGUUCGUCUUGGUUUCAUUUUUGUUGUUGAAUGAUCCAAAUAUUGUAAAUAAAUGUCUACUGCUUCACUCUCCCAAGAUUUUUUAUUUUUUUAUGUUAGUGCCUAUUUUUGUAAGUUGCGUGUGUUAUGUUAGGUUUUAUUUCUCUCGUUGAUUUUUUGAACUUUCAUUGCGAGAAUCAAUUUUCUUACAGAAAAGAUAUGUUGGUGCUGGAUCCAAAAUAGUCCAUGGUUCACACCCAAUGAAUAGAGCAUGAGAGGAGAGUAGAAAUGUAGAAAGAGAUAGUAGAGCUAUAAUCUCUAAAUGAGCUGUAAAAUCAUGUAAACCUCUUCAUUUAAUGUUAAAUCUUUUUAUAAAGGAUUUAGUACAGUAAUGAUUUACAUUUUUACUCUCAUUGAGAGAGUGUUUGCAUUGGCGUAUUUGUGAUAUUUUGCAUGCGACGAUUUAUCACCCUGUUGUCUGCUGACUCUGUCGGCUAAGAUUGCAUUAUCUCGGUCGGAUGAUCCAGCCUAGUUUUCUAUCUUCUCUCUGGUAGUAGUCUUUGGAUCUCUGCUGAAUGGUCAAAUAUGCUUUGUGGAAUUGGCUGGCCGGCUCUACCGUAUGAUGGGCUAUCGCAUUGAGCCUACUAUUCUACAGUUAGUGGCCCGUAUGCUCACCUGUCUUGUUUCCGAGCGAAUGGUUUAUACUCCGAACGCCUUUUUUUUUUUUUCGAUCCUCUUUUUGUCUAGGUUGGUAUUGGCCUUGCUCACUUGGCUUGUUCCGUUUGAUGGGGUUCAUGAUUUUUUUGCAAGGGAACUGCCUCCAUCGUAUUUGUCUCGUAUCUUCGUAAGAUCAGUGCCUACAUCUUUUUGAUUAACA